CUUGGUCAUUUAGAGGAAGUAAAAGUCGUAACAAGGUCUCCGUUGGUGAACCAGCGGAGGGAUCAUUACAGAGUUGCAAAACUCCCUAAACCAUUGUGAACGUUACCUUCAAACCGUUGCUUCGGCGGGCGGCCCGGGUCCGCCCGGUGCCCCCUGGCCCCCUAGCGGGGCGCCCGCCGGAGGAAACCCAACUCUUGAUUAUUAUGGCCUCUCUGAGUCUUCUGUACUGAAUAAGUCAAAACUUUCAACAACGGAUCUCUUGGUUCUGGCAUCGAUGAAGAACGCAGCGAAAUGCGAUAAGUAAUGUGAAUUGCAGAAUUCAGUGAAUCAUCGAAUCUUUGAACGCACAUUGCGCCCGCCAGUAUUCUGGCGGGCAUGCCUGUUCGAGCGUCAUUUCAACCAUCAAGCCCCAGGCUUGUGUUGGGGACCUGCGGCUGCCGCAGGCCCUGAAAACCAGUGGCGGGCUCGCUGUCACACCGGGCGUAGUAGAUUUUAUCUCGCUCAGGGCGUGCUGCGGGUUCCGGCCGUUAAAAAGCCUUUUUUACCCAAGGUUGACCUCGGAUCAGGUAGGAAUACCCGCUGAACUUAAGCAUAUCAAUAAGCGGAGGAAAAGAAACCAACAGGGAUUGCCCCAGUAACGGCGAGUGAAGCGGCAACAGCUCAAAUUUGAAAUCUGGCUUCGGCCCGAGUUGUAAUUUGCAGAGGAAGCUUUAGGCGCGGCACCAUCUGAGUCCCCUGGAACGGGGCGCCACAGAGGGUGAGAGCCCCGUAUAGAUGGACGCCUAGCCUGUGUAAAGCUCCUUCGACGAGUCGAGUUGUUUGGGAAU
rnacentral:sRNA from 1 species